rnacentral:misc_RNA from 1 species
GAUGAAGAACGUAGCGAAAUGCGAUAAGUAGUGUGAAUUGCAGAAUUCAGUGAAUCAUCGAAUCUUUGAACGCACAUUGCGCCCUUUGGUAUUCCUUAGGGCAUGCCUGUUCGAGCGUCAUUUAAACCUUCAAGCUAAGCUUGGUGUUGGGUGACUGUCCGCUUCACGGCGGACUCGCCUCAAAAUUAUUGGCGGCCGGUACAUUGGCUUCGAGCGCAGCAGAAACGCGAACUCGGGCCCGUCGUAUUGGCUCCCAGAAGCUAUCUUCACAAUUUUGACCUCGGAUCAGGUAGGGAUACCCGCUGAACUUAAGUAUAUCAAUAGGCGGAGGA